UGUCAGAUGAUGAGAAAAUACUGCAACAAUAUGAUCCUUGAUCUGAUUCUUAGUAUUUAAGUCUCUGAUGACA
rfam:Brachypodium distachyon strain Bd21 chromosome 1, whole genome shotgun sequence.